AAUUGAAUCAUACUGAAACGUACACAGAAGCAGAGAAAAUCGGAAACUGCAAUUUGAAUCAAAACUUACUCCAAACAGACCCCAAUCAUCAAUCAUUUGCACUUUUACUAUUGAUGACGAAAAAUCACUGCAAUCCAAUAACAACAGUUGGGCAGAGACAAUUCAGCAAAGGAAAGGUACACGGAAUCAGAGAAAAUCUGAAUAUGAAGCUUUAUACAAAACGAAGCUAUGUAGUUGAGAUCAAUUAAUCUCACAGUUUAUCAGUUACUUCUUUGCUGGGAAAGCUGUCCAAAGUCACAGAUAAAAUCAGAAAUUGGGUGUCAAUGGUACAUUGAAAAUAAGUUCCAGGUGAAAUCAAAACGCUAUACCUGAGAUCAGUCUUGAUUGUGUAUCAAUGGUCUGAUUUUCAUGAUUUUAAUUUCCAUCAGUGUUACCUUUGAAAUCAGGAAAUUCACUGCAGAAACAAUGGUUUGUAAAUCAAUGGUUUUGAUUUUCAUCACCGUACCAAUGGUCCGAUUUCCCUUGCCGAAACACUAUACCUGUCAUCAAAUACCGCCCCUGUUACUAUUGAUGAAUAAAACUCACUGCAAUCCAAUAACAACUUUCUAGACCCUCCAAACACUCUGCCGUUCAUAAUUACCAAUAAAAGACAUCGAUCAAUUUUUGUACAGAAACGGCCGGCAGCGAUGGGAGUUGCAAAGGUAAUCAAAGAACAGGGAAGGAAGCUGGAGAAGAAGAAGAAGAAGAAGAAGAAGAAGAGGUGGUUCAAAGGUAAUUAAGAUUCAGAAUUGAAAAUCAGGGAGGGAAGUUGGAGAAGAAGACGAAGAAGAAGAAGAAGAAGAAGAAGAGGCGGUUGUCAGGAAAUUAAACUCUUGCUGGAUAAGAAGAAGACGAUGAAAG
rnacentral:lncRNA from 1 species